UUGGAGGGCAAGUCUGGUGCCAGCAGCCGCGGUAAUUCCAGCUCCAAUAGCGUAUAUUAAAGUUGUUGCAGUUAAAAAGCUCGUAGUUGAAUUUCGGGGUCAGUAGGCUGGUCGUGCCACAGGUAUGUACUGGUCUCACUGAUUCCUCCUUCCUGAUGAACCGUAAUGCCAUUAAUUUGGUGUUGCGGGGAAUCUGGACUGUUACUUUGAAAAAAUUAGAGUGUUUAAAGCAGGCUAACGCUUGAAUACAUUAGCAUGGAAUAAUGAAAUAGGACGAUCGAUCCUAUUUUGUUGGUUUCUAGGAUUGACGUAAUGAUUAAUAGGGAUAGUUGGGGGCAUUAGUAUUCAAUUGUCAGAGGUGAAAUUCUUGGAUUUAUUGAAGACUAACUACUGCGAAAGCAUUUGCCAAGGAUGUUUUCAUUAAUCAAGAACGAAAGUUAGGGGAUCGAAGACGAUCAGAUACCGUCGUAGUCUUAACCAUAAACUAUGCCGACUAGGGAUCGGACGAUGUUAACUUUUCUUGACUCGUUCGGCGCCUUACGGGAAA
rnacentral:rRNA from 1 species